CGAAGGGGAAGAGAUGGUCGCUCUUCAUAACGUCUCGUUAACGGGAUGUUAGGGAGGGAGGAAAGUCCGAGCUCCACAGGGCAGGGUGGUCCGUAAUCCGGACUGUUUCGCUCUGUGAAAGAGGCGUAUCUGCCAUUUCACAGAGCGGGGUAAGGAAAGUGCCACAGAAAGGAUACCGCCCUGUGGAAUAGCGGGGAUACCGAUUUCAUGAUGGGAGAUCACAGCUAAAACGGUUCUCCAUUGGGAAACGGGUACUCCAUCCAGUUAUUCCACAGGGUAAGGGUGAAAAGGCGAGGUAAGAGCUCACCAGUAUCCCGAGCGAUCGGGAUAGCUUGGUAAACCCCACCCGGAGCAAGACCGAAUAGGUCCGGCUUCCCCCGCCUUAAGCGGGGAUGAGAAUAGCCCAUUCGAAGUUGCUCCCGACGCGGCAGCACCGGGAACAGAGGCUGGACGGGUAGGUCGCUUGAGGCCCUGAGCAAUCAGGAUCCUAGAUAAAUGACCAUCAUCCUGACCGAUCCCGUACCCGGGAAAGGGACGGAUACAGAACUCGGCUUAUGGUCCCCUUCGAUGA
rnacentral:RNase_P_RNA from 2 species